rnacentral:rRNA from 1 species
ACGGAAGGCAGCAGUGGGGAAUAUUGGGCAAUGGGCGAAAGCCUGACCCAGCGACGCCGCGUGAGGGAAGAAGGCUUUCGGAUUGUAAACCUCUGUCCUAGGUGACGAAGGAAGUGACGGUAGCCAAGGAGGAAGCCCCGGCUAACUACGUGCCAGCAGCCGCGGUAAUACGUAGGGAGCGAGCGUUGUCCGGAAUUACUGGGUGUAAAGGGAGCGUAGGCGGGACUGCAAGUCAGAUGUGAAAUGCCGGGGCUUAACCCCGGAGCUGCAUUUGAAACUGUGGUUCUUGAGUGAAGUAGAGGCAAGCGGAAUUCCUGGUGUAGCGGUGAAAUGCGUAGAUAUCAGGAGGAACACCGGUGGCGAAGGCGGCUUGCUGGGCUUUUACUGAUGCUGAGGCUCGAAAGCGUGGGUAGCAAACAGGAUUAGAUACCCUGGUA